AUUAAGAUUCAAUGUGAUAACCUACCCACCUCAGGAAUAACUAAUGACCUACCCCAACAGAAAUGUCUGCUGGGUAGGGAACGAGGCAAAGCUGUUCACUUUAAUGAUUUUGCUGGCACCGAAGCCUCUCAUUUGGGACGUUCAGCAAGAACAGCUUAUAAAAAGCAUUGGCUGAAGUCCUUGAUCUGUGCAAAUUGUCUUGGUUCCUUUGGCACCAGAUGUGUGACCCUCUGCCCUGCUGGAGGAUCCGCCACAUUCUGGUAACGAGGCAGAAAUCAAUGCCAGCCUACGCUUGAGUGGUGUAUUGAUGGCUGAGGCACACUUGUUGGUAGAAAUGCUUUCAUCAUACCAGGAGCAGGACAGCCUCGGAUUUACCAUCCAGAAGCCCUGGGACUGCCCCGAAUGUUCUGUGUGUGAAGAGGAGGUGGCAAGGCUUAAAAUAUCUGCAAGGGGCACAGCGGUGUGUGGGUGUGGGUCUGACACCCAGUAAGACUCACCUAGGUGGUGUGAGUGCUGCUUUGCUCCUGUGACAUUUGAAACAAGACCUGAAUGAUGGUGUCCCCAAGAACUGUCCUUGAAAUGAGUAAUUCGCUGCAACUUUGUUUCAGUCCGAUAAUUAUUCACUGCACUGAUUCAAAAGGAAAAUUAUCAUGAUUUUGGCUGAACAAACUGAAAAAAAACACUAGCAUAUCAAUUAACAAAAUGUAUAAGAGCAUUGCAAUUACUUUGUUUAAUUGAAGUCCCUUUUUCUUAACAGUGCCAGGCUGAUUUAGUGGCCUGGGGCACACAGAAACAAAUAAAACGCACGGUCAAAUGAAUGGAAAUCCCCUUUCUGCAGCCGCUUACAGGAUGAGAACACCAGGAGAAGCAUCUAUAAAUAUCAGCCUGGCUCACCGGGAAGAUGGUCAGAGGCAUGGAGAAUCCAGUUGAAAGGAGGGUUGUAACUAGUGAGAAUGAGCAAUGAAGGGCUGCAGAGUCACUAAGCCCUUGAUGGUGAAAGAGCACGUGCACGUGCAGCUGUGGGUGCGUGUGGACAGCUAAUUGCAACCCAUGACGGUGUGGGGCACAUGCAAUUUAAUACAGCUGAAGGCUCACGGCCUGACCUUCACAAAGGGUACAUAAAAAUGUCUCCCUUUAUCAACCUCAGCCCCUGAUUUCAGCUGUGGCACCCCUGAGGCUCUGCCCUGGGUGUGGGAGAUGUCUCUGUCCUGCAGCGGGGCCGGGGUGACACCGCACGCCAUCAGCUGCUGCCAGCCCCUUUAAUCUCUCCCAGCGAAGAGAUAAACCGAGAGCAGGACAAGCUGUGGAGGAGGGCGAGGGGAGAGGAUGCUGGGGCAGCUGCAGCCAGAAGAACUUGUGGAGCAGGAAGUAUCGAAUAGAGCGUGCAUGAGGAGCCCGAGACGACCAGAUCAGAUUGAAAUAGGAAAAGGCAGCUCUGCCUGCUCUGAGAGUCUCUUUGGUGCCAGAGAAGAGGGAGAUGGCAGGCUGAGAGGAGAACGAGAUGGACGGCUGGAGCAAAUAGUGUCUAAUGAACCAUGCUGGAAACACUGUCAGAAGCAAAGAGCUGGAUCUGCAGGUCUGCAAGAGCAGAGGAGUGCUGGCUGCUUGCUUUUUGCACACAGAGAGCACAUCAGACUCUCUGCUUCCAGUUGCACAGGGCAUAGCCUACAUUCCCACUCCUUCAAAGGAUGAAUUGAGCCACACCAGAACGUGCCGUCCCCAGCCAUCAGGCUCCUCGUCCUCCACCUUAGGCAAUGCUCACCGCGCUGCCCUGAGCCCUGGCAGGGUUAGAUCCAGCCCCACGCCUCCCUUCUCCUCUCUGUGCAGCCUGAAGUGAAAAGAGAGGGAGCAAGCAAGCUGCUCUUUUACAGGAGUCUAUCUAGGGAAUGGUGCAAGCUGGGAUGAAGUCCUUCUUUUUAACCGUUUCUGAGUUGUGACUGGGCUGAUACGGGCACAUGAAUGCUAUGAGAUUGCUGAUGCUUGAAGGUUAAAUGCUUGUCGGUCAUUUUCAAGGUACAGCAGGUGAAAGUAAGCUUUGUGCUGCAAGAGAAACAAAGGGCAUCAGUACCUGGGCAUAUUUAAAUGAGAUUAUAUUUUAUAGAAAACACAUAUACACGUGCACGUGUGCUUAGGGUGCAGAGAAGGUGCACCUUUUAAACAUCUCCAGAGCAGGAGGAACAUGGACUCAUGAACCACAAGUGGCUCUCAGCACACAGCUGCUACUGCGAAGGUUUGAGCCAGAAGUUAACGGUGGUCUUUAGCGCCCUUUCAGGAGAGCCUGGGAUGUGGCAAUACCACACUGCACCAACGACACAAGGUGAGAUUUGUUAAUAUGUGGACUGGAGAAAUCCAAAAGGAUGUCAGGGAGGGUGGUGCCAGCAGUGAGAGCUCUUUUCUGUGCAUCAGCAGUAACCUGCACAUUCAGGGUGCAGAGCACAAGCACUACAGCACCAGGUGGCCUCCAGCUGUCCCUCUGCCCAGCUCUGUGCCCGUCUUUCUCAAUCACCUCCCACUUGGAGCCCUGGCUGCAGGAAGGGCUCCGGAUGCCCGGAGAGCGUGGGCUGCUCUCUGGGGAAGCACUUGCUCCAUUGUUACAGAAAUACGUGAAAAGAGGCAGCGUUUUCAGAGGUUCCUCAAAAUGUCACCGUCCCUUCCUUGGCAUGGCUCUGCGACCUAUCUAAUAUAAAAUAUUAUUUGUGAAACUUCCUUUUAAUUGCUGUUUAAUGGCUCCUAAUAUAUUUCAAAUAGGCAUCUGCAAGUUCAUUUUGACAUUUAUUAGAAGCCAUUAGAUACCAAUUUAAUGGUGAUUUUAUGACAAAUGUCUGACAUCAUUAAAAAUGUGAUGGUUGAUAAAUUAUAAUGUGAUGUGCUUUUGAGUGUCAGGAAAUUAGACUGUUUCCAAAUGUGACUGUUUUUGAUGUUGUAAAUUAAAUUUUAUUUCCAACUGAUUUAUGUUUGCAGGCUCUCAAAGUGAAGUGUAUCAGAGGCUGAAGAGUUAGUGAGUAAGCAGGUUCUCGUGACGGUAAAUCUAGUCAGCCACAUCAGUGUGGGUCCUAAUGGCUCAAUUUGGAUGAAUAACUUGAUUUUUAGAGGAAUUUCUUGAUUUCACCUACCAGUGUCCCAGUAAGUACCUGCCCCUGCAUUAGACUGGGCAUUCAUUUACCACUUCAGUUGUGAACUCACACAGUGUCACUCAUCCUGGGCUGUCACCUCCAGGUACUGUGCAAAGGAAGGGCACAGCGAUGGUCCUGCACAGGCAUUUUAUAGUGCAGGCAGACCCAGGGCCCAUGGAACAUGGAGACAUCAUUGGCAUUGUGAAUAACAAACACUGCUUUUUCAAAAGCUUUUCAUAGAUGGCAUGGCAGCAGAGGUUUUUAGAGAUAACUGGUAAAUGUUUACUGGAGGACUCAUGCUCCUCUUGAGCAUGAAAGGGUAAAUGGCAGAGGGGAGAGCUGUGCAAACUGCAGCUGGGUGAAAGAGGCUGCCCCAGGAUCCUAACCUACAGGGUUCAGGCAGAACAUCAGUGUGGUUACCAAAGGAGCACUCUGUCUCAAGUUGCAUGGAAAUCCCACAUUCACACUGAUACGUGCACAAAGGAAAGGAGCAGAACCAUAAGUGCAGCUCAGAUUUCAAAGUGAUUGCAAGGCCUACAGAUGUGGGAAAAGAUGCUGUUUUACAGAGAGACCCUGGCUUUAAGGAGAACAAAUUGCUAAGACUGCUGUGUGUGCCUGGAUGGAAAACAGGACUUCUCAGGGACAAUGGUACAAGUUAGAGGCAGAGAAGGUCACCUCAUCCUCCAGAGAUGGCAAAAGAUUUGUAUAUGGCUGAGGAGGUGAUGCCUUUGCGAUACUUGGGAUGAGCAGCUCUGGGCUCUCAAGCAUAGUGGCAGGUGCUGACAGCCCUGAGCUGCUCUCCUCACAGAAGGCUUCCUAUCUCUGUCCGAUGGCCUUGUUCUGAAGGCACCCAUCCUGCCUAACAAUUCUCCCCACUGCCAGCUUCAUCAGACCCUCAUGGAAUAGCACGGGAACACUAAAGAUCUGCCUGGAAACUGGGAGAUUGUGUUCCCCAGUCUAUGUUCGUGAGGAAUGUGCCUGAGUGAGUAAAAAAAGCUGAAGGCACGGCAUGGCAGCCUCUGGUUUGGCAGAAGUGUCUGCAGCCCCCUGGGGAUGCUGGCUGCAUGAUGCUGGGGAGCCUGACCUUAUCAAUGCAUGUCUUCAUCGAUGCCCGUAUCUGUGCCAGGCUCUUUUGCCACAAUGCCUUCCCUCAGCCGAGUAUAAGCAAUAAUCAAACUCAGUACAAAAGAAUAUUUUGCUCCAUGAGGCCUUGAACUUUGAGAUGAAGAUAUCAAAUUGUGUCUCAGCUCCUUUCCUCGACUGUCUGCAGUAACUGCAUCUCCAUUGACUACAGCAAGACCUUAGAAACCUAACUCAAAUAUGAAAUGAGCUUAACCCGUGAGCUGAAUCUUGCUUUCUUUUUCUCUCCAAGUGCAAAAGAUGUGAGUGAGCAGCAAGGCCAGCAAUGGAGGGAAGCUGCAGAUGGGAAGAUGCCACAGGGUCCUGCCCUGUGGGGAGACUGGGGGGUGAGGGCAGGCUCCAGGAAGGGCAGCUGGAGGUUCAAGCAGCGGGCUGGAGCUGGCGGUGAACUGGGAGCUGAACUGUAGAGUUCUUGUCAGAAACGCUACCACUUACUGACCUCUCCCUGCUUCUCCAGCCAACACCACUGACCCGGUAGCCGUGGCACCUUGGGCUGUCUGACAGCUCUGCAAGGAGCAAGACAGAGCCCUCAGGUGUCAGCCAUGGCUUCUUCAUUAAAUUCCUCACGUGCUGCUGAAGUCUGUGGGCAUGAAGCUUUGCAGGGCAGGUAGGAGAAAGCAUUGAUCUGUCAGCUGGCAUGGGCUGCCUGCUCCUCCGCAGGCUCUCCCCCUGGCUGGAUCACACUGCAGCCCACUGGGGCAAGAGGCCCUUUGGGGCCUUCCCUGUGCUAUUGAGGCACUUCUCCUCCUCCAAGCCCAGGCUGUGAGCCUUCCCCAAUUAAUCUUCAUCACAGCAUUCCAUGUACCUGCAGGUGAGUGGCUCUUACACGGGCCAUGAGUCAAAAACAGCAUCCUCAGUGUGGCUGUGAAUGUUCCCAGCUCUGACAUUGAGCCAUGUGGCUUUCAGUAAACCAAUACUUUUUUUUUGUUAAAUAAGAUGCCCUUUUCUGUACACUGCAAGCAUAAACUGGAAGAGCUCCAUGAAGUAAUUGCAUGGUGUCAAAAGCUCCAAUAAAAUUUUUUUAAACCCAUCUGGGAGGUGUUUCCCUAAGAAACUAAAAAGGCUAUUUUGGCCCCAUUAACCUAUUUUCUUGUCUGUUUUUCAAGUCUUUGAAAUUCUUUCUUUUUCAUUUGGGCAAAUGUUGUUUUACCAUUGCACAGUGAAGUGCGUGGGGUACUUGAGACAGAUCAUGCCAGAACAAUAAAGGCUUGAGAAAAGAACACUUUGCAUUUCCAUCGCCACUGUGAGUCAGGCCUGCAGGUUUUCUGAAGCUGAGCUUUGCUUCUCUGGACUUGCCUCUGCCAGGAGCGCUGUACGCAGCCCUGAGGUGGGACUGCACAGAGCCAUGCCAUGCCACGUCUGCCCUUGUGCACGCUUCUCUCUCGAAGCAGAGGCAGCGACCUCAGUCCCUCCCCAGAGCACAAGCACAGAGCAGCACGGAUGCUGUACACCCACGUCUGGCACAUGUUAAACAUGUACCCUGCAACAGUUUCCCCCGGUUGAGAAACCCAUAAAUGUCAAAUGUCUCACUCCAGGACACGGAAACAGACCUGGGGCUGAUCCCUGACGCCCACCCUGGUACUGCUGCUGCCCCAUGUGCCUUGCAGGGAGCUCCUCUGCAGGAGAUUUGUGCUGGUUGCGCUUCUCGCCUUUUUCUCCCUCUCGCUCUCUCCCUCUGACUUUUCCAGAGAGAGAGAGGUGCUGGCCAGAGCCGAAUGCACCAUUCCAGGAGAGGAAAUACCAUUAUACUGGCAUCAUGAAUGAGAGGGAUCCUAGUGUUGUAUUUAAAGCAAAGCACGAGCCCUUGGUGCAUCUGGGUUCUGUUCUCAGUCAUGCUACAGGUUUUCUCUCAAGUUUGUCCUACUUACUCAGAGUCUCUGUGCCUCAGCUUCUCUCCCUGCAAAACCAGGGCUGCAGUACUUUUCCUACACCUUAAAAGUAUUGGGGUUGUGAAAGACUUGGAUACCUGAGCAGAGAUGUAAUUAAAAAUGUAAGAUAGGGUGGAUUAAUUAUACCCCAGGCCUCCGGUAAGAGAAGCCAAAUGUGGUUCUGUGGUUUUAUAAGGAAGAAAUAUGCGUUGGGGCCAUGCUGUGUCGUCAGUCUCUGCUCCCCGGUGCUGAUGUAUGGGGCCGGAGGCUGGAAGCCCGAGGUGGGGAGAGCAGGGACGUCCUCGCAGCUGGGGCUGCCAGCGGGGCUGCUGUCCUGCAGCCAAGCAGCGAGGGCCUGAUUUCGGAAAGGUGCUGAUGGUGCUGGAGCUCCAGCCAGCCUGGCUCUGUAACAGCCUCUUGGCCAAACAGCCCUUUAUGUGGUGUAUGGUAAUGUACAGAUGUGCCUCUAUCACCUGAAUAUUCACCACAGCCCACUCAGACAGAUUGGCCUUAAGAUGAACACUAGACUUCUUGGCACCCACAUAUUCACAGAAUUACAGAACUGUAGGGGCUGGAAGGGACCUCCAGAGAUCAUCGGGUCCAAUCCCCCUGCCAAAGCAGGUUCCCUAGAGCAGGCUGCACAGG